UCGCCUGUUUAUCAAAAACAUGGUUUCUUGUGGAAAUAAGAGAUUUAACCUGCCCACUGAAAAUUUUUGAAGGGCCGCAGUAUUUUGACUGUGCAAAGGUAGCAUAAUCAUUAGUCUUUUAAAUGAGGGCUGGAAUGAAGGGUUGGACGAGGUGAAUUCUGUUUUAUAAAAAUUUUGAUUGAAUUUAGGUUUUUAGUAAAAAAACUAAAAUAUUAUUAAGGGACGAGAAGACCCUAUAGAGUUUAAUAUUUAUAGUAAGUGAUUGGGUUAAUAAUAAAUUUUUGGUUAUUAUGAGAUUUAUUUAAUUGGGGUGUUUUGAAGAUAAAAUUAAUUCUUCUUUAUAAUUAAUAUUGUAUUUAAAUUUAUGAUCCAUAUUUUGUGAUUAAAAGAUUAAAUUACCUUAGGGAUAACAGCAUAAUAUCUUUUGAGAGUUCAUAUUGAAAAAGGUGAUUGUGACCUCGAUGUUGGAUUAAGAUUGGUUUUGGGUGUAGAAGUCUACAAACUAGGUCUGUUCGACCUUAAAAAUCUUACAUGAUCUGAGUUCAAACCGGAGA
rnacentral:rRNA from 1 species